rnacentral:rRNA from 1 species
CCUUCGGGUGGCAGCAGUAGGGAAUUUUCGUCAAUGGGCGCAAGCCUGAACGAGCGAUGCCGCGUGAGUGAAGAAGGCCUUCGGGUCGUAAAGCCCUGUUGCGGGGGAAAAAAGUCAGCAUCAGGAAAUGGGUGCUGACUGAUGGUGCCCCGCCAGAAAGUCACGGCUAACUACGUGCCAGCAGCCGCGGUAAUACGUAGGUGGCGAGCGUUAUCCGGAAUGAUUGGGCGUAAAGGGUGCGCAGGCGGUCCUGCAAGUCUGGAGUGAAACGCAUGAGCUCAACUCAUGCAUGGCUUUGGAAACUGGUGGACUGGAGAGCAGGAGAGGGCGGUGGAAGUCCAUGUGUAGCGGUAAAAUGCGUAGAUAUAUGGAAGAACACCAGUGGCGAAGGCGACUUACUGGAAUGUAACUGACGUUGAGGCUCGAAAGUGUGGGGAGCAAACAGGAUUAGAUACCCGAGUAGUC